UAAAAUAUAUUUAAUUAGGUAGUAAAGAAAUUUCUGAAACUUAAAGAAUUUGGCGGUGUUUUAAAUAAUUGGAGGAAUCUGUUAAUUAAAUGAUAGCACACAACAUAUCUUUCCUUAUUUUUGUUUGUAUAUCGUCAUUCUUAGACAAUACUUUAAAGUAAUAGUCACAAUUUAUUAAAUCCAUCAAUUUAGAUCAAGAUGCAGCACAAUAAGGUUAUAAUGGAUUACAAUAUUAGUUAAAUAUUUAUGAAUAAGAUGAAAGAAAUUUUUCUUUGAAGGCGGAUUCAAAAGUAACUUAAAAAUAAAAUGGUUUUUUGAAUGAUAACUUAAAACAUGC
rnacentral:rRNA from 1 species